rnacentral:rRNA from 1 species
GAUGAACGCUGGCGGCGUGCCUAAUACAUGCAAGUCGAGCGAACGGACGAGAAGCUUGCUUUUCUGAUGUUAGCGGCGGACGGGUGAGUAACACGUGGAUAACCUACCUAUAAGACUGGGAUAACUUCGGGAAACCGGAGCUAAUACCGGAUAAUAUUUUGAACCGCAUGGUUCAAAAGUGAAAGACGGUCUUGCUGUCACUUAUAGAUGGAUCCGCGCUGCAUUAGCUAGUUGGUAAGGUAACGGCUUACCAAGGCAACGAUGCAUAGCCGACCUGAGAGGGUGAUCGGCCACACUGGAACUGAGACACGGUCCAGACUCCUACGGGAGGCAGCAGUAGGGAAUCUUCCGCAAUGGGCGAAAGCCUGACGGAGCAACGCCGCGUGAGUGAUGAAGGUCUUCGGAUCGUAAAACUCUGUUAUUAGGGAAGAACAUAUGUGUAAGUAACUGUGCACAUCUUGACGGUACCUAAUCAGAAAGCCACGGCUAACUACGUGCCAGCAGCCGCGGUAAUACGUAGGUGGCAAGCGUUAUCCGGAAUUAUUGGGCGUAAAGCGCGCGUAGGCGGUUUUUUAAGUCUGAUGUGAAAGCCCACGGCUCAACCGUGGAGGGUCAUUGGAAACUGGAAAACUUGAGUGCAGAAGAGGAAAGUGGAAUUCCAUGUGUAGCGGUGAAAUGCGCAGAGAUGUGGAGGAACACCAGUGGCGAAGGCGACUUUCUGGUCUGUAACUGACGCUGAUGUGCGAAAGCGUGGGGAUCAAACAGGAUUAGAUACCCUGGUAGUCCACGCCGUAAACGAUGAGUGCUAAGUGUUAGGGGGUUUCCGCCCCUUAGUGCUGCAGCUAACGCAUUAAGCACUCCGCCUGGGGAGUACGACCGCAAGGUUGAAACUCAAAGGAAUUGACGGGGGCCCGCACAAGCGGUGGAGCAUGUGGUUUAAUUCGAAGCAACGCGAAGAACCUUACCAAAUCUUGACAUCCUUUGACAACUCUAGAGAUAGAGCCUUCCCCUUCGGGGGACAAAGUGACAGGUGGUGCAUGGUUGUCGUCAGCUCGUGUCGUGAGAUGUUGGGUUAAGUCCCGCAACGAGCGCAACCCUUAAGCUUAGUUGCCAUCAUUAAGUUGGGCACUCUAAGUUGACUGCCGGUGACAGACCGGAGGAAGGUGGGGAUGACGUCAAAUCAUCAUGCCCCUUAUGAUUUGGGCUACACACGUGCUACAAUGGACAAUACAAAGGGCAGCGAAACCGCGAGGUCAAGCAAAUCCCAUAAAGUUGUUCUCAGUUCGGAUUGUAGUCUGCAACUCGACUACAUGAAGCUGGAAUCGCUAGUAAUCGUAGAUCAGCAUGCUACGGUGAAUACGUUCCCGGGUCU